AUGGUCACCAGAAAGCACCUUGUGGCACCCGAAAUUGGGCUGCAGCUGAAGAAACCAGGCAUCUAUCGGCUGAUUGGAGUUCAUCGGGUUCCAGUUCAAAUGCAUGAAAUUCGGGAUGUGGCAGUCUCGCGGACUGGUGGGGUUCCCGCUGUUUGCUUCAUGCUGUUGCAUUGUCGGUGGACAGCAGGCCAAUUUUGGAGCUCUCUUUGCAUCCUCCUGAAACAAGCAGCGGUUGGCAGCCCGUUGCCAAGCAGCUCUCGCUUCUGCCGCCGCCAUCAGUCUCGCAUGUCAAAAGUCUGCCUGCACAUCAGCAAGUUGACCAUCAGCAUUAGCUCAUACUUUUUGUUUCAAAGUGAAAAUAGUAGUGUAUCAGCAAAACGUUCUCCCUUUAAGAGAUGA
rnacentral:rRNA from 1 species